rnacentral:tRNA from 1 species
AGCCCGGUAGUGUAGCGGCACACGCGAAACAUAUGUUUUGCUGCGCGAACAAUCAUCUCAGGCUCUGGUCCUGAGGACCCAGGUUCGAAUCCUGGCCGGGCUA